AGCACAUAGACACUAAAUUCACA
rnacentral:snRNA from 1 species